rnacentral:rRNA from 1 species
GAUGAACGCUGGCGGCGUGCCUAAUACAUGCAAGUCGAGCGAACAGACGAGGAGCUUGCUCCCCUUACGUUAGCGGCGGACGGGUGAGUAACACGUGGGUAACCUACCUUUAAGACUGGGAUAACUUCGGGAAACCGGAGCUAAUACCGGAUAAUCUAUUGAACCACAUGGUUCAAUAGUGAAAGACGGUUUUGCUUUCACUUAUAGAUGGAUCCGCGCCGCAUUAGCUAGUUGGUGAGGUAACGGCUUACCAAGGCAACGAUGCGUAGCCGACCUGAGAGGGUGAUCGGCCACACUGGAACUGAGACAGGGUCCAGACCCCUACGGGAGGCAGCAGUAGGGAAACUGCCGAAAUGGGCGAAAGCCUGACGGAGCAACGCCGCGGGAGUGAUGAAGGUCUUCGGAUCGUAAAACUCUGUUAUGAGGGAAGAACAAAUGUGUAAGUAACUAUGCACGUCUUGACGGUACCUAAGCAGAAAGCCACGGCUAACUACGU